rnacentral:rRNA from 1 species
GACGAACGCUGGCGGCGUGCUUAACACAUGCAAGUCGAGCGGUAAGGCCCUUUCGGGGGUACACGAGCGGCGAACGGGUGAGUAACACGUGGGUGACCUGCCCUUAGCUCUGGGAUAAGCCUGGGAAACUGGGUCUAAUACCGGAUAUGACUCCAUGACGCAUGUUGUGGGGUGGAAAGCCUUGUGCGGCUAGGGAUGGGCCCGCGGCCUAUCAGCUUGUUGGUGGGGUGAUGGCCUACCAAGGCGACGACGGGUAGCCGGCCUGAGAGGGCGACCGGCCACACUGGGACUGAGAUACGGCCCAGACUCCUACGGGAGGCAGCAGUGGGGGAUAUUGCGCUAAUGCGCGAAAGCGUGACGCAGCGACGCCGCGUGGGGAUGAAGGCCCUCGGGUCGUAAA